rnacentral:rRNA from 1 species
UACGUAGGGCGCAAGCGUUAUCCGGAAUUAUUGGGCGUAAAGAGCUCGUAGGCGGUUUGUCGCGUCUGCCGUGAAAGUCCGGGGCUCAACUCCGGAUCUGCGGUGGGUACGGGCAGACUAGAGUGAUGUAGGGGGAGACUGGAAUUCCUGGUGUAGCGGUGAAAUGCGCAGAUAUCAGGAGGAACACCGAUGGCGAAGGCAGGUCUCUGGGCAUUAACUGACGCUGAGGAGCGAAAAGCUGGGGAGCGAACAGG